GAGGGCGGACCUAGGGGGAGGAGGAGGAGGAAGAGUUGCUGCUGAAAGGAGGUGGCGAAGGAGGAGCCGGAGCAGCUGCUGCCAGCCCGCGGGCACCGGAGUCCUGCCCGCUGCCGCACGAGUAGCCACCGGCGCGAUCGGGGCAGACGUCUCCUCCAUGAUCACUUUGGGAGCGGGGGGAAGACUUUGCCCUGCCGUGAGAGCUGGUCUGCGUUUUCCAGGCGCGGCGGCGGCGGCGGAGCAGCCGCAGCAGCCGGGUCCGAAUCGGAGCGGCCACAGCCUGGGGCGUGUGCGCCCCGCGCGGAGCGGGCUCGGGUUCCCCACGGAAUGUCCCCGGGGCGCCCGGCGCGCUGACCCCCCAGCCGCCUCCGCCUUCGGCGCCUGCUGCCUCUCUCCGGCGGGCGCGGUGUUCGGGACUGCAAGCUUCCCGGCUCCUGGGCAGUGGGGAAGCCCCCGGGGGCGGGUGACCUCAGCUGUCCACGACCCAGCCCUCCCCCGUGCGUAUCUUGCUUAAGAUGGCAGCGGAGUCAGGGGAACUAAUCGGGGCUUGCGAGUUCAUGAAAGAUCGGUUAUAUUUUGCUACUUUAAGGAAUAGACCAAAAAGCACAGUAAAUACCCACUAUUUCUCCAUCGAUGAGGAGCUGGUCUAUGAAAAUUUUUAUGCCGAUUUUGGACCUCUGAACUUGGCAAUGGUGUACAGAUACUGCUGUAAACUAAACAAGAAACUGAAACCAAAGAAAAUUUUCAAGAAUAUCCCUUUCCUGGGAAAGUUGGAGUCAUACAGUUUAUCAAGAAAGAAAAUAGUGCACUACACCUGUUUUGAUCAACGGAAAAGAGCAAAUGCAGCAUUUUUAAUAGGUGCUUAUGCUGUAAUCUACUUAAAGAAGACACCAGAAGAAGCCUACAGAGCACUGCUAUCUGGCUCAAAUCCCCCCUAUCUUCCCUUCAGGGAUGCUUCCUUUGGAAAUUGCACUUACAAUCUCACCAUCCUCGACUGUUUGCAGGGAAUCAGAAAGGGAUUACAACAUGGAUUUUUUGACUUUGAGACAUUUGAUGUGGAUGAAUAUGAACAUUACGAGCGAGUUGAAAAUGGUGACUUCAACUGGAUUGUUCCAGGAAAAUUUUUAGCAUUUAGUGGACCACAUCCAAAAAGCAAAAUUGAAAAUGGCUAUCCUCUGCAUGCCCCUGAAGCCUACUUUCCUUAUUUCAAAAAGCAUAACGUGACUGCAGUCGUGAGGCUGAACAAAAAGAUUUACGAGGCAAAGCGCUUCACAGACGCCGGCUUCGAGCACUAUGACCUCUUCUUCAUAGACGGCAGCACGCCCAGUGACAACAUCGUGCGAAGGUUCCUGAACAUCUGCGAGAACACGGAUGGGGCGAUUGCGGUUCACUGCAAAGCUGGUCUUGGGAGAACAGGGACGUUGAUAGCCUGUUACGUCAUGAAACACUACAGGUUUACACACGCGGAAAUAAUUGCUUGGAUCAGAAUAUGUCGGCCAGGCUCCAUUAUAGGACCGCAGCAGCACUUCCUGGAAGAAAAACAAGCAUCGUUAUGGGUCCAAGGAGACAUUUUCCGAUCCAAACUGAAAAAUAGACCAUCCAAUGAAGGGAGUAUUAACAAAAUUCUUUCUAGCUUGGAUGAUAUGUCUAUUGGUGGAAACUUAUCUAAAACACAAAACGUGGAAAGAUUUGGAGAGAAUAACUUAGAAGAGGAUGAAGACGUGGAAGUGAAAAAUAGUAUAACCCAGGGAGACAAACUACGUGCCUUAAAAAGUCAGAGACAGCCACGCUUCUCACCAUCCUGUGCAUUUAGGUUGGAUGAUACGAAAGGGCACCCAAGAGCAGUGCCCCAGCCUUUCAGAUUGACUUCUUCCCCACAAGGAUCUGCAUCUACUUUGAAGACCUCAAAAGUGGCUCUGUCCCCCUCAGCGACGGCCAAGAGGAUAAACAGAAGUUCUUUGUCCUCAGGUGCCAGUGUAAGAAGCUUUUCCAUAAACUCCCGGCUAGCCAGUUCUCUAGGGAACUUGAACGCUGCAACAGAGGAGCCAGAGAACAAAAAGGCCUCCUCGUCCUCUAAGGCGGGUUUCGUAGCCAGCCCGUUCACCAGCCUCUUGAAUGGCAGCUCCCAUCCGUCUGCCAGAAAUUACCCAGAGCUCAACAACAAUCAGUACAGCAGAAGCAACAGCACCAGCGGGAGCACCGUGAGCAGCCAGCCGAGCCCCCACGGCGCCGUCAAAGCGGAGGAGCACAGCCCCGUUCUUCGGCCCGCCUACCCCGGCCUCUCUUCUUCCUCAGCGAGAUUCCUGAGCCGUUCAAUCCCCGUAAGUUCGCAGACACCACCUCCUGGUCCUCAGAGCCCUGAACGCAACUUUUGUGCCUUGCCUCCCCAGCCGAGGCUGCCGCCAAAGAAAUUUAAUAGCGCCAAGGAAGCCUUCUGAGCGAUGCCUUCCCUCUGUGCUGUGAACCUGUCUAUGCACGUACAUUCGGCUGGCUCCUCUUCAAUCCCUUCAGUCUGAAUAUGUUCAUUACUAAGGCCUUGCCGCUCCGACGAAGGCUGUUCCACUCUUAGACAGUGUCUUCAUCUGGACGAGCAAUGUAGAGAGAAAGCCACUGCUGUUCGAGGGAUAUUUCUGCCUUCUUACCUUAAAUUAAGGAGAGCACUCACAUAAGACCUUCAAGAGACUUGAAACCAGAAAACUCUGGUUAAUGACUACUAUAAAUGCACUGAAACUAUGUUUAUGGAGAUGUCAAUGCUUUUUAAGACCGUUUUAAUGUUGAAUUUGGUAUUUUGAAAGGUUAUUUUUAAUGUAUUUCGGUAAUACAUUUGCUACUACCUUUACAUGUACAGUGUUACAUUAUGUAUGUAUUGUGAACUUUAAAAGACUAUUUUGAUAAAUUUAUAAAUCUAUAAAAUUAUGUAAAAACUAGACUCUAUUUUGACUUAGAUUUUCUUGUCGUUUGCUACCAAAAAUUUGUAUUUUGAAUUUAUUUAGUAUGGUUUUGUCUACGAUGAAUAAAUAAUUCCUCUUUAUUAAGAAAAAGUAAGGGAGAAAGUUUUUAGAAAGUGAUUUUUUUAUGUCCCCUAUGAAUAGGGCAGAUCAGUUCAUUCUUUUGGGAAGUCAGUCUAAUGUAAUGAGUUUAUGCAAGCUUAUCUCUGGCAAGAGGAUAAUCCUUUGAUAUGGCUUGUUCAGACCGUUUCCUUUCCCUUUUGUUUUUGUUGCUCAGCUGUUUAGUUUCGCAUCCUUGUGGAGCUUUAACAAAAUUUAACAUCCAGUUGAAGAUCAGAAUUCACUGAACGUUUCUCCUGAAAACACAGUUUUUCUCUAUGAAAUGACUCAACAUUCCAAAUGCUUUUAUUUCUUUCUUCCUCUUGAGAGAGUUCUUAACCCAGUUAGAAUAUUUUGCUUUUGGUACGAGGUUGUUGUCUAUAACCACACGUGGUCUGGCACCAGUUUUAAAUCAAUGAAGAGAAAAAACUGAAUAAGAUGCUGCUGUUUCUCUGUAUUAAAGGAGAUAUGUUUGUAACAGAUUACGAACACCUAAGACACAAGCCAGCAUGUCAGAAACCUAACGUGGAAAUGAAGGGACCCCUGACAGGUGCUCACAGCCCUUUUAUGUAAGUGUAAUCUGGCAUCAGGCCUCAGAAGCCCGUAGGUUUCAUUUCCAUGGGGUGUGGGGAGCCUUAGAUUCUGAUUAUCUUCCAUGCUGCUUAAGAAUGGACUGUUCAGACAGUUAAGUGGAUCCACAUGAAGUGCUUUCCUCUCAACCACUGAGUUAUUUAUAAUAUAUUUAUUAAGGAUGGGGUACCUUGAGGCUAUUACACAUGCUUCGGCAAAACAUCUUGUUCAUGUUUUACAUUUAAAAAAGGCAUUUGAAUGAAUGUUUGGCUCAGGUUCAUUACUUAAGCUUCAGUAACUGCAGUACCAAAUAAUUGCACUAAGCUGAUGAAAAAAAUGAAUUGUAUGUUUUAGGAGUCAAAAAUUAAAAUAAGUGAAAUUAAAUUGUAUACCUUUUCUAAAACUGAAAGAGUAAAAUAUUUUAUUAUGAGUUAUUGUAAAAAAAAAGAGUGGUUAGUUGUACAGGAAGAUGGUAGUAUUUAAAAAAAAUCAGUGAAAAGUAAUUCAGAUGACGUUUGAAAAGUGGGGAAAAGGGAACCAUAUGGACAGUUUUAGUUCUGUGAACACUAAUUUGUGUGCAGCUAUUGAAAUGAUUGUAAAAUUGACUACUAUAAAUUCUCCAUAAUUAUGUUGUAUAUUAGUCCUAUGUAUCAACAUGUGUAUGUCUUAGAAUUAUUUGUACACAUGUCCAUACAUAGACAAAUCAAGAAGUGUAUGUAUAUAAUAUAGAAAGUAUAUAGCAAAGUAAUUCUACUCCAAAAAUAAAAAAAUUGUUGACAUGUAUUUUGUUAUGAAUAGUUUACCUUCCAAAAGAUAAUUUGUUCUAUUUUAAAGUGUAGAAAAAUGCACUGCUAAUAAAUAAUAAAAGUUUUAUGCAAUUUAUGUUUCCCCUGACUUUUAUAAUUUGGAUUUUGAGUUAUCAGUGUACUGAAGUCUCUUUAUAAUUUUCUAUUUGAUCCAUUCUGGUUGGUGCCUUUCAAGUUUCUCAAGAUCUCCAUUCUGGAUUUUCAGUUUAUCUUGUAUUGACUUUCCAGGUUGUGGCCAUUUUUUGAAGUAUAUGACAGUGAGCACAAAGAAACCUUAUACGUUGCCUUUCACAAAAGUCAGAUAAUGUCAGGCUCCUGCUGUUUUUCUCUCUAUAUAAUUUUCCUGUCUGUUAAUAAAACACUGAUUGUGAUCAGA